rnacentral:rRNA from 1 species
GACGAACGCUGGCGGCGUGCUUAACACAUGCGAGUCGAACGAAAAGAGGGAAAGAGCUUGCUCUUUCCGGAAUUGAGUGGCAAACGGGUGAGUAACACGUAAACAACCUGCCUUCAGGAUGGGGACAACAGACGGAAACGACUGCUAAUACCGAAUAAGUUCCAAGGGCCGCAUGGCCCAUGGAAGAAAAGGUGGCCUCUACCUGUAAGCUAUCGCCUGAAGAGGGGUUUGCGUCUGAUUAGCUGGUUGGAGGGGUAACGGCCCACCAAGGCGACGAUCAGUAGCCGGUCUGAGAGGAUGAACGGCCACACUGGAACUGAGACACGGUCCAGACUCCUACGGGAGGCAGCAGUGGGGAAUCUUCCGCAAUGGGCGAAAGCCUGACGGAGCAACGCCGCGUGAGUGAUGACGGCCUUCGGGUUGUAAAACUCUGUGAUCCGGGACGAAAAGGCAGAGUGCGAAGAACAAACUGCAUUGACGGUACCGGAAAAGCAAGCCACGGCUAACUACGUG